rnacentral:tRNA from 1 species
GGUUUUAUAGUCAAUAAUGAUAUUAAAUUGCAAAUUUAAAGGUAAAUUCAAAUAUUUUAAAACUU